rnacentral:misc_RNA from 1 species
AAUCAUUCGGUCAUCCUCAGUAUCUUGCUGACUACUCCAUGAUGCGGAGCUAGAACUUUCACCCACGCUGUAUGUUCCCUGUCUGGCAGCAUAUGCAUAACCCUGCAUCUACUGCUAAUUUAUGUUGAGCUACAAAAUACCAAGAUGACCCUCUGCUGCCGAACUGCCUGGGAAAGGGCAAUGGAAGUGAAGGGAUUAAAAGAAAAGAAAAGAAAAGAA